AGCUGCCCUGCCCCCCACCAAUCACUUCACAGUGGCCUCUUCUCUCUUCCUCCCUUCCAGGCAGAGCUCCUGGAGAGCAAAGCUACAUCUUGCUCAUCCCUCUAUUCCCAGAUCUACCUGGGUGUCCAGCAGAGGUUCCAGUUUUGAAUGAGUGGUACCCUUGCUACAAUAUCUGAAACCUCUUCUCCCCACUAUAGGAUUCACUCACCGCAGGGGAAGUAAUCAGCUUCUUAUGGCCAACCACUCUGCCCAGGGCUUCCUUGGGAAACUUGUUCCAUCUCAGCCAGAUUCCAGGGGCAUUGUCUAGGUCAUCGGCCAUGUAACUUUCCCAUGUGUUUUGGCCUGGCUUUGCUGACCUUUUUGUUACAUUUCUUGUGGGCAUAAGUGCUACCCAUAUCUUCUCCAAAGGUCCUUUCUGUUUCACAAGAGGCCUAAGCCUCUUGAAUGUCCUGUUAGACCCUGAGAAGGGACAGAAAUCCCAGGGCCAGCCACUCUCAGAGGAUGCCUUUUGGUGCCCCUCUCCCUUCCUGUCUGCCAUUGCCUGGUUCCUGCAGAGUUUGAGAAAAUCUCCACAUAGACCUUGCUACUGUCCUGGCACAGUCCCCUGCUGUCCCAUGAUGAAGCUGAGGUCAGAUGUCCUUUGGUGA
rnacentral:lncRNA from 1 species